rnacentral:rRNA from 1 species
AACGAACGCUGGCGGCAUGCCUAACACAUGCAAGUCGAACGAGAUCUUCGGGUCUAGUGGCGCACGGGUGCGUAACGCGUGGGAAUCUGCCCUUUGGUUCGGAAUAACAGUUGGAAACGACUGCUAAUACCGGAUGAUGACGAAAGUCCAAAGAUUUAUCGCCAGAGGAUGAGCAGGCGUAGGAUUAGCUAGUUGGUGUGGUAAAGGCGCACCAAGGCGACGAUCCUUAGCUGGUCUGAGAGGAUGAUCAGCCACACUGGGACUGAGACACGGCCCAGACUCCUACGGGAGGCAGCAGUGGGGAAUAUUGGACAAUGGGCGAAAGCCUGAUCCAGCAAUGCCGCGUGAGUGAUGAAGGCCUUAGGGUUGUAAAGCUCUUUUACCCGGGAUGAUACUGACAGUACCGUGAGAAUAAGCUCCGGCUAACUCCGUGCCAGCAGCCGCGGUAA